rnacentral:rRNA from 1 species
CUGAACCAGCCAAGUAGCGUGAAGGAUGAAGGCUCUAUGGGUCGUAAACUUCUUUUAUAUGGGAAUAAAGUUUUCCACGUGUGGAAUUUUGUAUGUACCAUAUGAAUAAGGAUCGGCUAACUCCGUGCCAGCAGCCGCGGUAAUACGGAGGAUCCGAGCGUUAUCCGGAUUUAUUGG